GGACGGGUGAGUAAUGUCUGGGAAACUGCCUGAUGGAGGGGGAUAACUACUGGAAACGGUGGCUAAUACCGCAUAACGUCGCAAGACCAAAGAGGGGGACCUUCGGGCCUCUUGCCAUCAGAUGUGCCCAGAUGGGAUUAGCUUGUUGGUGAGGUAACGGCUCACCAAGGCGACGAUCCCUAGCUGGUCUGAGAGGAUGACCAGCCACACUGGAACUGAGACACGGUCCAGACUCCUACGGGAGGCAGCAGUGGGGAAUAUUGCACAAUGGGCGCAAGCCUGAUGCAGCCAUGCCGCGUGUAUGAAGAAGGCCUUCGGGUUGUAAAGUACUU
rnacentral:rRNA from 1 species